UCCGUCAAAUAUCUGCGCGGCGCUAGUGUUUGUGGAAAAAAGUGCAAAAAUGGUGGGACGCUGCAAUCGCUGUGAUGGAAAUUCUCAAUUUUUGGUGGAAAAAAGCAUUGUUAUGUUUUUUUUUUCUUCCCGGACGUCCCGGACUGUAAAACAACACCAAAGUACUCCGGAAAAUACUAAAUAUCAUAUUACAAGCGUAAUGCCGUACAUGAAUCUCAAUCCGGCAGACAGGCGGCGGCAUCAGCUGCACGCAAUCACCAUAGACUUCUUCCAUACAAAGUGAUGAAGACAAAUCCUGAAUAUGCCGCCCUCCAGUUACUGUUGAGGUGAAGAAGAAAGAUGUUGAAGUUGCUGCGGUGCAGCAACCGGAAGCAGCUGUUCAGGAGAAAGGUGUACAAAAGCAGGAGGGUUAAAACCAAAUUCCGGAGCAACAGAAGCAGCAAGUUGAGGAAGGAGGAGAGCGUUAUAAAGUGAAGAAAUCUGCUCAGGAGGUUGUUGAAACGCUCUCUGUACCUGAGAUGCAGAAAGAAGAAGCCAAGACGGGCUGUUAUGCCAGUUGUGAAGGAACAGAGAAGGAGCGAACAGUUGUCACCCAUCAUGAUAUCACAGGCAUGGCGACGACAAUUGAGAAGAACCUCCAGGAAUUGGGUGAGCAGCAAACAAUUCUGGACAGGUAGAAUUCUCUAAGGAUUGUUGUCGAUUACUUCUGGACUAUUCUCUAUACCAUCGUGUGAGGAGUGUCACCUUUCAACGUUUCCUGGCGGAACAGGGCUUCGACAUGACAAAGUUGCAGAACAUCUGGGGGAAGGACAAACGCAAUGGUAUCAAAGUGGACAUUGCGGAGCUACGGGAACUCAAGGAGAAUGACAAGAAGGACCUAAUGGAUCUCAUUGAUUGUCAUUUUGAUCCAGAGAAGCAGCUAAUCAAGCCAGUGUCCCGGAAGACUAACAAGAGGCGCUUUCAGAAGAGACAAACUUCGAGAAUUUCAUCAAGGGAAAUAUUCAAAAAGAAAAUAAUCAACAGAGAAACAAUCAGCAGAAUCAAAAUGGUGAAAACCCAUCAGGAUAACAACAAGAACUAUCAGCAUGGCAACAAUCAUCUGGGUGAUCGCACCAGGGGUAAAUUAAUUAAUUAAGUAUUUGUAGAAAAAAAGAAAGAUCUUUGGGUAUUUUAAAAGAAACAAAAGAAUCUUUUAAGUAUAUUUAAUUUAUUAAUUUGUUAAAAAAGGUUCGUUUUCUUCUUUUAAGAAUUCUUGAAUUAAAACAGAUUCAUUUUCUUUUUAAGAACUUUUGAGUAUUUUGAAAGUGAAAGAAUUCUUGAAUUAAUUUGUUAAGAAAGAUCUUCUUUUCUUAAGAACUUUUCAGUGUUUUGAAGGAGAUAAAAUUCUUGAAUUAAUUUGUUUAGAAAGAUCUUUUUCUUCUUAAGAACUUUUGGGUUAUUUGAAGGUCAUAAAAUUCUUGAAUUAAUUUGUUAAGAAAGAUCUUUUUCUUCUUAAGAACUUUUGAGUAUUUUGAAGGAGAUAAAAUUCUUGAAUUAAUUUGUUAAGAAAGAUCUUUUUAUUCUAAAGAAUUCUUGUAUUAUAAAUGAUUCUUUUUCUUAAGAACAUUUUGGUUAUUUGAAGGAGAAAGAAUUCUUGAAUUAAUUUGUUAAGAAAGAUCUUUUUCUUGUAAAGAACUUUUGAGUAUUUUGAAGGAGAAAGAAUUCUUGAAUUAAUUUGUUAAGAAAGAUCUUUUUCCUCUUAAAGAAUUCUUGUAUAAAAAAUGAUUCAUUUUCUUCUUAAGAACUUUUGGGUUAUUUGAAGGAGAAAGAAUUCUUAAAUUAAUUUGUUGAAAAAGAUCUUUUUCUUCUUAAGAACUUUUGGGUAAUUUGAAGGAGAAAGAAUUCUUAAAUUAAUUUGCUAAGAAAGAUCUUUUUCUUGUAAAGAACUUUUGAGUAUUUUGAAGGAGAAAGAAUUCUUGAAUUAAUUUGUUAAAAAAGAUCUUUUUCUUCUUAAGAACUUUUGGGUUAUUUGAAGGAGAAAGAAUUCUUAAAUUAAUUUGUUAAGAAAGAUCUUUUUCUUGUAAAGAACUUUUGGGUAAUUUGAAGGAGAAAGAAUUCUUGAAUUAAUUUGUUAAGAAAGAUCUUUUUCCUCUUAAAGAAUUCUUGUAUAAAAAAUGAUUCAUUUUCUUCUUAAGAACUUUUGGGUUAUUUGAAGGUGAAAGAAUUCUUAAAUUAAUUUGUUAAAAAAGAUCUUUUUCUUCUUAAGAACUUUUGGGUAAUUUGAAGGAGAAAGAAUUCUUAAAUUAAUUUGCUAAGAAAGAUCUUUUUCUUGUAAAGAACUUUUGGGUUAUUUGAAGGUGAAAGAAUUCUUAAAUUAAUUUGUUAAAAAAGAUCUUUUUCUUCUUAAGAACUUUUGGGUAAUUUGAAGGAGAAAGAAUUCUUAAAUUAAUUUGUUAAGAAAGAUCUUUUUCUUGUAAAGAACUUUUGGGUAAUUUGAAGGAGAAAGAAUUCUUGAAUUAAUUUGUUAAAAAAGAUCUUUUUCUUCUUAAGAACUUUUGGGUUAUUUGAAGGAGAAAGAAUUCUUAAAUUAAUUUGUUAAGAAAGAUCUUUUUCUUGUAAAGAACUUUUGGGUUAUUUGAAGGAGAAAGAAUUCUUGAAUUAAUUUGUUAAGAAAGAUCUUUUUCCUCUUAAAGAAUUCUUGUAUAAAAAAUGAUUCAUUUUCUUCUUAAGAACUUUUGAGUAAUUUGAAGGAGAAAGAAUUCUUGAAUUAAUUUGUUAAAAAAGAUCUUUUUCUUCUUAAGAACUUUUGGGUAAUUUGAAGGAGAAAGAAUUCUUAAAUUAAUUUGUUAAGAAAGAUCUUUUUCUUGUAAAGAACUUUUGAGUAUUUUGAAGGAGAAAGAAUUCUUGAAUUAAUUUGUUAAAAAAGAUCUUUUUCUUCUUAAGAACUUUUGUGUAAUUUGAAGGAGAAAGAAUUCUUAAAUUAAUUUGUUAAGAAAGAUCUUUUUCUUGUAAAGAACUUUUGAGUAUUUUGAAGGAGAAAGAAUUCUUGAAUUAAUUUGUUAAAAAAGAUCUUUUUCUUCUUAAGAACUUUUGGGUAAUUUGAAGGAGAAAGAAUUCUUAAAUUAAUUUGUUAAGAAAGAUCUUUUUCUUGUAAAGAACUUUUGAGUAUUUUGAAGGAGAAAGAAUUCUUGAAUUAAUUUGUUAAAAAAGAUCUUUUUCUUCUUAAGAACUUUUGGGUAAUUUGAAGGAGAGAGAAUUCUUAAAUUAAUUUGUUAAGAAAGAUCUUUUUCUUGUAAAGAACUUUUGAGUAUUUUGAAGGAGAAAGAAUUCUUGAAUUAAUUUGUUAAAAAAGAUCUUUUUCUUCUUAAGAACUUUUGUGUAAUUUGAAGGAGAAAGAAUUCUUGAAUUAAUUUGUUAAAAAAGAUCUUUUUCCUCUUAAAGAAUUCUUGUAUAAAAAAUGAUUCAUUUUCUUCUUAAGAACUUUUGGGUAAUUUGAAGGAGAAAGAAUUCUUAAAUUAAUUUGUUAAGAAAGAUCUUUUUCUUCUUAAGAACUUUUGGGUAAUUUGAAGGAGAAAGAAUUCUUAAAUUAAUUUGUUAAGAAAGAUCUUUUUCUUGUAAAGAACUUUUGGGUUAUUUGAAGGUGAAAGAAUUCUUAAAUUAAUUUGUUAAAAAAGAUCUUUUUCUUCUUAAGAACUUUUGGGUAAUUUGAAGGAGAAAGAAUUCUUAAAUUAAUUUGUUAAGAAAGAUCUUUUUCUUGUAAAGAACUUUUGAGUAUUUUGAAGGAGAAAGAAUUCUUGAAUUAAUUUGUUAAAAGAGAUCUUUUUCUUCUUAAGAACUUUUGUGUAAUUUGAAGGAGAAAGAAUUCUUGAAUUAAUUUGUUAAAAAAGAUCUUUUUCCUCUUAAAGAAUUCUUGUAUAAAAAAUGAUUCAUUUUCUUCUUAAGAACUUUUGGGUUAUUUGAAGGUGAAAGAAUUCUUAAAUUAAUUUGUUAAAAAAGAUCUUUUUCUUCUUAAGAACUUUUGGGUAAUUUGAAGGAGAAAGAAUUCUUAAAUUAAUUUGUUAAGAAAGAUCUUUUUCUUGUAAAGAACUUUUGGGUUAUUUGAAGGUGAAAGAAUUCUUAAAUUAAUUUGUUAAAAAAGAUCUUUUUCUUCUUAAGAACUUUUGGGUAAUUUGAAGGAGAAAGAAUUCUUAAAUUAAUUUGUUAAGAAAGAUCUUUUUCUUGUAAAGAACUUUUGGGUUAUUUGAAGGUGAAAGAAUUCUUAAAUUAAUUUGUUAAAAAAGAUCUUUUUCUUCUUAAGAACUUUUGGGUAAUUUGAAGGAGAAAGAAUUCUUAAAUUAAUUUGUUAAGAAAGAUCUUUUUCUUGUAAAGAACUUUUGGGUUAUUUGAAGGUGAAAGAAUUCUUAAAUUAAUUUGUUAAAAAAGAUCUUUUUCUUCUUAAGAACUUUUGGGUAAUUUGAAGGAGAGAGAAUUCUUAAAUUAAUUUGUUAAGAAAGAUCUUUUUCUUGUAAAGAACUUUUGAGUAUUUUGAAGGAGAAAGAAUUCUUGAAUUAAUUUGUUAAAAAAGAUCUUUUUCUUCUUAAGAACUUUUGUGUAAUUUGAAGGAGAAAGAAUUCUUGAAUUAAUUUGUUAAAAAAGAUCUUUUUCCUCUUAAAGAAUUCUUGUAUAAAAAAUGAUUCAUUUUCUUCUUAAGAACUUUUGGGUUAUUUGAAGGUGAAAGAAUUCUUAAAUUAAUUUGUUAAAAAAGAUCUUUUUCUUCUUAAGAACUUUUGGGUAAUUUGAAGGAGAAAGAAUUCAUAAAUUAAUUUGUUAAGAAAGAUCUUUUUCUUGUAAAGAACUUUUGAGUAUUUUGAAGGAGAAAGAAUUCUUGAAUUAAUUUGUUAAAAAAGAUCUUUUUCUUCUUAAGAACUUUUGGGUAAUUUGAAGGAGAAAGAAUUCUUAAAUUAAUUUGUUAAGAAAGAUCUUUUUCUUGUAAAGAACUUUUGAGUAUUUUGAAGGAGAAAGAAUUCUUGAAUUAAUUUGUUAAAAAAGAUCUUUUUCUUCUUAAGAACUUUUGGGUAAUUUGAAGGAGAAAGAAUUCUUAAAUUAAUUUGUUAAGAAAGAUCUUUUUCUUGUAAAGAACUUUUGGGUUAUUUGAAGGUGAAAGAAUUCUUAAAUUAAUUUGUUAAAAAAGAUCUUUUUCUUCUUAAGAACUUUUGGGUUAUUUGAAGGAGAAAGAAUUCUUAAAUUAAUUUGUUAAGAAAGAUCUUUUUCUUGUAAAGAACUUUUGGGUAAUUUGAAGGAGAAAGAAUUCUUGAAUUAAUUUGUUAAAAAAGAUCUUUUUCUUCUUAAGAACUUUUGGGUAAUUUGAAGGAGAAAUAAUUCUUAAAUUAAUUUGUUAAGAAAGAUCUUUUUCCUCUUAAAGAAUUCUUGUAUAAAAAAUGAUUCAUUUUCUUCUUAAGAACUUUUGGGUUAUUUGAAGGUGAAAGAAUUCUUAAAUUAAUUUGUUAAAAAAGAUCUUUUUCUUCUUAAGAACUUUUGGGUUAUUUGAAGGAGAAAGAAUUCUUAAAUUAAUUUGUUAAGAAAGAUUUUUUUUCUUAUUAAGAAUUUUUGGUACCUAUGUUUUUUGUGAAAAAAUUUUAAUAUAUAAAGAGCACUUUUAAGUGUUUGUUUUGACGACUGAUAGUGCACGAUUUAUUAUAAGAUGUAUUGGAAUAAAAAAAAAUAAUAAAAAAUAUUGUGAAUAAUAGUCAAAAAUUAAAAAAAUGUAAAUUUUAAAAAUUUGAAGCUGAAAUUAUGUAUUACAUGUAUUUUUAUGUAUAAAAGUAAUGUAAAUUUUUAAUGUAAAUUAAUAAUAAAAAAAAAUUGAUUUUUAUGAAUUUCCAA